rnacentral:rRNA from 1 species
GACGAACGCUGGCGGCGUGCCUAACACAUGCAAGUCGAGCGGGAUCCAUCUGGUGGCAACACCGGGGAAGAUCUAGCGGCGAACGGGUGAGUAACACGUGAGAAACCUGCCCCGCACUUCGGGAUAACACGGGGAAACCCGUGCUAAUACCGACUACCCUCUACCGGUCGCAUGGCCGGAAGCGGAAAGAUUCAUCGGUUCGGGAGGGUCUCGCGGCCUAUCAGCUAGUUGGCGGGGUAACGGCCCACCAAGGCAUCGACGGGUAGCUGGUCUGAGAGGACGAUCAGCCACACUGGGACUGAGACACGGCCCAGACUCCUACGGGAGGCAGCAGUGGGGAAUCUUGCGCAAUGGGCGAAAGCCUGACGCAGCAACGCCGCGUGCGGGAUGAAGGCCUUCGGGUUGUAAACCGCUUUCAGCAGGGAAGAAAAUGACGGUACCUGCAGAAGAAGCCCCGGCCAACUACGUGCCAGCCGCCGCCGUAA